AGAGCGAAUGAUGGGACAGGCUGAAUUCGCCAUUGAAGCGAAUGAAAGGAAAUUUAUAAGCGAAUGACUGGAACGAAAGAAGGUAAAAUAUGAGCGAAAGAAUGGAUAAUAUGAGCGAACAAUGUACAAAUGCGAAUGGUGGGACAGGAUUUUCCCUUGUUGUUUUCCCCUCCAUCUUGAUUCGAGAAA